UCUUGUUUGCUUGUCUGUCUCCUUCCCUAAAACAUUUUAGACAAUGAGAAGAAAAAAAUCAAAGGGGGCAAAUCACAAUGUUUACCUUCACGUGUCCUUCAUAUUCGUCAAAUUCCAAGUGAUGUUACUGGAGCAGAAGUCAUUGCAUUAGGUCUCCCUUUUGGCAAAGUAACCAAUUUCUUGAUGCUAAAAGGAAAAGGUCAGGCAUUUUUGGAAAUGGCUUCUACAGAAGCUGCUGUUUCUAUGGUGAACUACUAUACUCCUGCUACACCUCACCUCCACAAUCGGCCAGUUUAUAUUCAGUAUUCCAAUUACAAAGAACUUAAGACUGAAAAUCUACAUGAUCAGGCUAGACCCCAGGCUGCAUUGCAAGGUGUGAAUGCUGUGCAGCAUGGAAGCCUGGCUAUUACAAGUGCUCUUGAUGGUGAAGGUGGACACCUUCCAAGUCAAGGUUCUGUUCUUCGAAUCGUUGUUGAAAAUGUUUUUUACCCUAUCACUUUAGAAAUGCUGUAUCAGAUUUUCUCUAAAUUUGGAUAUGUCUUGAAGAUUGUCAUGUUCCAUAAGAACAAUCAAUUCCAAGCGUUGCUCCAAUAUGCUGAUGCAAUGAAUGCAUAUUGUGCCAAAAUGUCUCUGGAUGGCCACAGUAUCUAUACUGGGUGCUGCACUCUGCGUAUUGAUUUCUCCAAGUUAACUACCCUAAAAGUAAAGUACAACAAUGACAAAAGCAGAGAUUUCACUCGUGUUGAUCUUCCUUUUGGUGAUGGCCAACGAACCCUGGAUGCAUCCUUAGCUGCUACCUUUGCCACUCCAAAUACGGUAUUCCCAUCAUAUCCAGGGGCUGCUGGAUUUGCCCAACCCUUGGGCUUUCCUCAAGGUGCUGGUAUUUCAGUUCCAGCUGCUCCUGGAGCACUUGGUUCUCUCACAAUCACCCCGUCAACGGUGUCUGGACAGAUUCGUGGUGUUGCUGGUAUUCCAGGAAAUUCUGUUUUACUAGUCAGCAACCUCAACCCUGAAGCCAUCACACCAUAUGGACUUUUCAUCCUAUUUGGUGUAUAUGGUAAUGUGCAUCGUGUGAAGAUUAUGUUUAAGAAAAGAGGAAUUGCUUUGGUUCAGAUGGCAGAUGCAACCCAGGCUCAAUUAGCUAUCAACCACUUGAAUGGACAGAGGCUUUAUGGAAGGGUCAUGCAUACUACUCUUUCAAAAUAUCAGACAAUUCAACUUCCUCGCGAAGGGCAAGAAGACAAAGGUCUGACAAAGGACUAUAGCAAUAGCCCUUUACAUCGCUUUAAGAAUCCUGGCUCUAAGAACUGCCAAAAUAUUUUUCCUCCAUCUGCCACCCUGCAUCUCUCCAACAUCCCGCCUUCUGUUACUGUUGAUGAUUUGAAGAACCUUUUUGCAAGUAAAGGAUCUACUGUGAAAGCCUUCAAAUUUUUCCAGAAAGAUUGCAAAAUGGGUCUUAUCCAACUGGGCUCUGUGGAAGAAGCAGUUCACGCUCUCAUUGAGCUUCACAAUCAUGACUUUGGAGAAAACCAGCAUCUCCGAGUUUCCUUCUCAAAAUCUACAAUAUGAAUUUUCUGUGCACUUUCCUUUUAAUAUAGUAAAAUCUUCAGAGACUGAGAAAGCUGAGACCAGCUCUGUCUCUUAAAAGAAGAAGCUCAUUCAUACACAAAGAAUUAGGUAAUAAUAACAGGUACCUGGAGCAGUCCCAAAGAAAAGAAAUAGUUGAAGGUCUAAAUGAAGAAAGCUUUUACCUUGGCAGACUAAUGUCUUCAUUGUAAGCAGUUUCUCGGGUCUCAGAAACUCUACAAUAUUUAUGAGUGGGAAGCUACCAUGCAUAAACUUCCUUCUAAGCACUUUCCAAUUAAUUUUGAAUAUGUUUUACACUUACUGCAAAAGUUCACCCUAGAACUGCAGCAACACAAGACCAAGGUUGUUAACCAAGCAGAUUCUUGCAUCAAUCGGAAUGUCAUUUCACUCUCUGACCAAAGACUGUUCUGGUUUUACUGAGACAUGUGAAAAACCUUUUUCUCUCACACUCCUUUCUGAUGGGAAGACCCAAUGCCAAGUGGACUUUGUUUGAGACUUCUAUUGGUGAUUGAAACAAUGGAAAAUGAGAUUGUAAUGUGAACCAAAUGGUGUGAGAUAAGGCAAAAGGUUAAUGGACUACUUUUAGUACUGUAUUCAAGACACAGAAACAUGUCUAAGAAUUGCUGUCAUUCCCUCAUUUUACAUGAUCUGUUCAUAAGUGUUCCCUUUCAGUUUAUAAAAAUGUUCAUCUACCACAAGAAAAUACUGUAAAUAUUUGUAACAUCGUGUUUUGUUUUGGUUUUUUUUAACCUGGCAAAAAAGUGUUUGGGGGAACAAAUGGGAAUGUAAACUGUUUUUAUAUAAAAAAGAUUGUCUGUAUAUUUUAAUAAGCAACAGCUUUCAUUUGUAAAGUAUCUUAUGGCAUUGCUUGAAAAGUAUUCCAUGUCUGUUGAGAUGACUUAAAACUGAAAGAAGAUAUAAGAUGUAUUAAAGAAACCUAUUUUGGGACUGUGUAGUGCAUGGUGAAUUUGGUUAUGCUGUAAUAUAUUCUGUUUGUUUAGGUUAGUGUGUUUUCUGAUUAUUUAGUACCUAUACCUAGCUCUUUUCCUAACUAGUUGUUAUAGCAUGUCUUUUAAUAAAUGUCAUUACAGCUGUACUCUCUUAAA